CUGCCUGUUACUCAGCAAGAAAGCGAACACUGGCUUGCUGGCUCAGCACUUAACCUGAGAUGAGGAUGUCCUAACAGCCCUUUUUCUCUAAGGGGUAGUGUAGGGUGGGGUGGGGCCAAAAGGAGAGGAGGAGGAAGGCCUGCCACCCGGGAGGUCCCUAGGACUCAGCAGCAGAGAGGGCCUUGCACCAGCGCUCCGCUCUGUUCCAGAAAAUAUCCUAUUUCUGACCAUCAAUCAGCAUUAAGCCAGUUUGGGGGCUGAGCUUUAGGCACAGGCAGUUGCCAGUAGCAACAGGGCACACGCUCCUGGUGAGCUGGGCGGGAGGUGGCAACAAGGGAGGGGCCGCCUGGGCAAGUGGCCUGCAGCUGGGCAGACAAGGUCCCUGGUUCCCUUCACGCCCCCACCCCCAGCCUCAGCUCUGUCUGGGUGGAACGAAUGUCUGCUAAUGAACUAAACAAACAGGUCUCUUAAUCUUAUCAUGGAGCUGACCCAGAGACUGGCACAGAUAUCCAAAGUAUCAUAAUUGGCAGGUCAGAAUUAAAACUACAUACAUCAUGGUGACUUUAUAGCUGAGGCAAAGUGGAGCUCAAGUGUUACUUUCCCAGUAAGCAAAUCAUAAUGAAGUAUCAUGCUGGUGACUAAUUUAACUAACAUUGUCCAGGAAAUUGCUGUUGUCCAGGAAGAGAAGAGUUGAGCCGAGUGUCAACUACUAGGCUUCUGGCACCAUCCUGCACAAGAAAUUGGAGCAUAAGGGACAUUUCCACAUUCUAACUUUACAUGAAGACUCAGGACUUUGAAAGCCCAUGAGAAAGUUUUCAUAAGGAUUUAUCCACAAUUUCUUCUUUGAUUUGCUCAGAUGUGAAGCAGGAAACCUUCCAGACAUCCUGAACCUCUGAACUUUUUGUGGAUUGCCCAUCAACACAGGCAAACAUUCAUGAAGCAAUUCAAAAAUCUCUUCUCACUGCAUUAUAAGCAUGUCCUUACGUUAUUCAUAUAUCAAGAGCAUGCCCAUUCCCAACCCACAAUGGAAUGUGAGCCUAAUUACAUGUUCCUUUGGAAUAAGAUCUCACCAGCCCAGGAGUGUCAGAAACCCUCUAUCAUAUAUACGUAUCUUGUUUCCAAAAUGAUCUUCCCAAGCCACCCUAACAGGCCCCCUUCAGAAUGCUUCCUGCUGACAAGUGAAUCUGCUUUUUGCCUUUCACCCAAUCUCAGCUCAUGCUUUCUCUGUGAAAAUAUCACAGACCACAUCUGACAGUGGUCCAGCUAAUUAAUGUACUCCAAUGUCUAGCAAGCAUUUGACAGGAAAAAUAAUCUAUACAGUAUUUAUUGCAAAAUCUUCACCAAUGUGACAAAGAUGAAUGUAAACUUUACAUAAUCAUUUUUCAUUUGUUAUCCAAAGUUGAAAGUGAUUUUCAAAUGCUAACUUUAAAAUUAUGAUGAGGAAGAUAACAGCUCUGCUUUAAAACUGCUUGGCAAUGGAAUUUCUAUAGUAUAAUGGUUUAGCAAUGAGCUAGAAAAAUAAACUCUCUUGCUAAUGUAGUAAAUGGGCCAGAAAUAAACUUCUCAGGGAUUUGGGUGGUGGGGUGGGGUGAGGGAGGGGCACACAGAGGGGAUAGUGGAAUUGGAUUUCUGGAAUAAAUGAUCUGAAACCCUUAGCACACUAUAUCUUCAAAAAGCAAUGUCUUCCUUUAUAUAAUGCACGUAUCACCAUCACGAUACGAGAGCAACUCGAAGAAUCUUAACGUAUACCACGGUAAACACCUACGGCACCCAACUCAGUCUACAGCAGGACACCCAAAAGUUAAAUUCACUUUGGCUGUGGCUGUGCUCCAGGUACAUAUUUUCUCAUGAGCUUUGUUUCUUUGUUCUAGAACCAUCCUUCCCAAUAUUCCUUAACAUUGAAAUUAUACAUGUUAAAUUAAUUAUUGUUCAUUUAACUGAUGAGCUGAAACUCACGUCCUUCCUUUUGAAAGCUAAAGUAAUCUUCUAAUAAAAGGUCAGGAAUUAUCAAAUUUACUUGUAAUUAUUACUAAUUCUUCUGUGACUUCUUUUUUUUUUUUUUGAGGUGGAGUCUUGCUCUGUCGCCCAGGCUGGAGUGCAGUGGCACGAUCUCGGCUCAUUGCAAGCUCCACCUUCUGGGUUCACACCAUUCUCCUGCCUCAGUCUCCUCAGCAGCUGGGAUUACAGGCGCCCACUACCAUGCCAGGCUAAUUUUUUUUGUAUUUUUUAGUAGAGACGGGGUUUCACUGUUAACCAGGAUGGUCUCGAUCUCCUAACCUCGUGAUCCGCCUGCCUCGGCCUCCCAAAGUGCUGGGAUUACAGGCGUGAGACACCACGCCCGGCCUCUUCUGUGACUUCUUAACCACAAAUAAAGUCUUGGCCUUGGAAAAAGGAAGAUCUGAAACAGAACAAGGCAAUUAAAAAGUGGGUGGAGGAAGUAUAGGAGUAGUGGAGAAAAAAGAAAGGAAUGGAUUUUCUAAAUUUAAAACACUCUUUGCCCUUUCCUGAAAUAAUGACUUAUAUUCUUUGAGUUCACAAGAGAGUAAUUGGAUAUGCAUGAUGCAAUGCUGGAAUUUUAGGUAUUUUGCCUAAAGGUUAUUAACAAUUAGUACCACUAGGGGAAAAAUCAUAAAGUUAGUUAGAAUAACAACCCUCUCUCAAAGGAUAAUGAAAACUGGACUUGUAAUCUGGUCAUAAUAAAAAUAUAUUAUGUUUAUAUUGGAGCCUCACAUGUCAAGAGGAAAACUCACAAACUAGAAUAUGUCCAACAGGUGGCCAUGACUAAAUGAAGACUGAAAAACAAGUUGUAUGAGGACCAAUGAAGGAAUCUUCCUUUGAAGCAGUAAAGACUGCGAAAAAAAACAUGAAAAACUGUCUUUAGAUAAAUCCUUUAACAGGAAUGGUACACAGAACAGGGAGAUGUUAUAAGUGGAGCUACUGAUGACAGCAUUAGAGCCAAAGGGUGAAAGGCAGAUGUUGAGUCAUUCAAUAGAAGAGGUGUCUGAUCUCUUCCUAUCCAAUGUAGCAGAAUCCAUCCCAUACUAUAUCUGAAAGAUGACCACUUUGCUUUGACAUUUGCAGUGGUACAGAACUCACUAUCUCAAGAAUACCUUCCUCGGGAUGGUAAUAAGUAUGAGAAAUGCCCUUUCUAGUUCUAAAUUUCUUCUCCACAAGACAACUCAUUCCAUUUUCAAACAAUUAUUAGAUCUAUCCAUCUCUUAGUCUUCUAUUUGUCAAGCAAACAUCUCCAAUUCCUCACAUCAUUAUUAAUUCAGUAUUGUGAACCUUGUACCAUUUUAGUCACCAGCUUUGUGGAUAAUCUUUGGAUUGUAGUGUCUGUAACUGACAUCCAAAUUAAGUGCUCUUGAUAUGGUCUAACUAGCAACUGACCCCAUCCAUAUUUCUAUUUCCAAAGCAGAGAAACAAGAAAAUCAAUUGGCCAAUAUAACUGAAUAAAUCCAGGUAAAUACAUAUUUGGCUUUCAAUUAGUCAGGAAGUCUGAAUUUCUAGAGGAUAUUGAAGAUACAGCAUCAGACAAUGCAUUUGUCUGAUUGCUGACAACUUUUAAUUUCCCUGUUCAAGAAAAUCGAUCAAUGUGUGUUAGCUAAACACCUGUUAUGUUCAACCCUGUGUUAGUCAUCAUUUGAUGUGUAACAGAAGUGUAAGGCCAGGUACCUACAAUAUUUGUAGAGUCAAUACUAAGGUACAUGAAAUAAUUUUAGAGUUUUUACAAGAUAUACAUCAUUAUGUAUACUUAUAUGAAAUAGUCUCAAGUUCAGCAGGGAAGACUGGGCCCAGGUGGGCUGAGGAAUGCAUGUGAAGAGGUAGGGAGGCAGGAAACUUGAAGGAUGGUUAGGGCUUGUCUAUUUGGAAUGGAGAGAGAGGCCACAAAGGAGUGCGUGUGUAGAAAUAAUGAGUAAUAAAGGAGGUCAAGGUUAGUAGGGACGUGUGUGGUUACAAAUAGAAAUAUUUGGAUUUGUACCAUAACAUUUCUAUUACAACUUCCUUUCUCCCAUUCCAAACAUGCUUGGUUUUACAGAAAAAACUUCCAGGACUCAGAUUUCCAUGGGUAUUAGUUUGCAAACUAAUCCCUGAUGAGAUAUUAUGAGGAGCUAAGAGAGUGAUGCUAGAAUUCUCAAGUGGCAAUGGCAAAUUUCAGGGCUGACUUCCUGGAUAACCAAUUCUUUUUUUUUAUUCUGAGCAUGGGAAUUUCAGUUCAUCCAGCAGAAGAAAUGUUUUUUGAUAGAUGUGACUUUUGGUACAUUUUGAAUUAUGUCAUCUUGGGGACAAAUGGUCCCAAAAGCCAAGGUCCUAAAUGUGUACAUCUGAUCCAACUCUAAGAACUUUUGCUCAGUUGUGACGUCAAAGAAUUUCUAUUUUAGAGUGGUCUUCUGCAACUGAUACCAUCCAUAUUUCUGUCUCCAAAGCAGAGAAACAAGAAAAUCAAUUUGCCAAUAUAACUGAAUAAAUCCAGGUAAAUACAUAUUUGGCUUUCAAUUAGCCAGGGAGUCUGAAUUUCUAGAGAAUAUUGAAGAGACAGCGUCAGACAAUGCAAUUUCCUUUAAUAGGGACCAUAACCUCAGAGUUGCUGCUCUGUUUUUUAAUAUUGUACAAUUAACUUUUUUUUUUUUUGCAGCACACUCUGCUUAUAGCUUCUGUGGAAACUUAAACAUUAUUCAAUAGAAUAAUUUCCUGGAAAAUCUUUUGAAAGUGGUCACAGCCCUGACCUUGCUCUGGUGCCCUGGGUCCACCAGCAUGCUGUUUCAUUACCUCAGGAAGGUUUGGUGCCAAGAGACAGUCCAAGAGUUAGUGCAUAAAGAAAGCUAGGUUCAUAAAAGAAUUAAUAUCUGCCUUCUUUCAAGGAGGGAAACUGCCACUUCCAACCAUUUUAUGCAUCUAUCACUUCUCUUCUAUCUUCAUCAUUCAACCCUUCAACUGGCCUACCUAGAUGACAGGCUUUUACACCUGGUGAACGUCUAGAAUAACUGCCACAGAAAAUACAUCUAUGACAUUUAAUCACUGAGUGUUCGAGAGAAGGCAAAGCCCGGACACCAAGUAAGCCAGGUACCCCUGAGGCAAACUCCAGAGGCUUCCCUGGGCCGUGAAACCAGCCAAAGAAGGCAAAAUUCACCCACCCUCCAAAAGACGUUUGCGUUCCCACGCAUGUUCUCCGCCCUGAGAUAGCUUAGAACACAGCUCUACCAACGACUUUUCAUUUCCAUUAACCUAUUCCUGAUUCUUUGAUUCAAGGAACCUUGCCAUCCUUAGCUCUUUGGAUUAUUUAUGAGGUCUGAUUUAUAAUACAAAAUUAUACAGUGUACCAUAGUUAAAACCUUGAAGGAAAAAAUGCAUUUUGUAUUUCUUCUUCUUGGAGAGGCCCAAACACCCCUCCCCAGGGUUGGAAAGGAGAGUGGAGGUAGGGUAAUGGAACUCCCUCUCAGGCCUCUGAAUAUGGAGAAAUUAAGAAGAAUGGGAUGGGGUUGGGGGACAGAGGUAGUAAGCAAACAAAUGACUUAUUUUUAAUCUAGAGUUACCCAUUUGGAGAGAGAUACAGGGUUAUAUCCUAACGGUACCUUUUUAAAAAAUAAGUCAUAAGUAUGCUCAUGCCCUAACAAGUUAGUGAAUUUUUCCAGUAAAAUUAAAAUUAAAUAGAAAGCCAUGGUAAAUUACCCAUUUCAUUUCUCCUUCUAGAUUUAAAAAAAAAAAAAGAGGCACUUUGUCGCUUCUUACUGUGAGUGCACUUCAGCCUUAAUACAUGCAUUUAUGUCAAGGGGGCCAUUUACACUGUUGUCUGCUGGAGUUUUUCUUCUUUCAACUUAGUAGGGAAUAUUUGUAAUCUUUAUUACCCCAAAUAAAUC
rnacentral:lncRNA from 1 species